GCGUAAUUGUGCACCCAACUCACUCAGGUGCUUUGCUAUAUCGCAUUUGACAUUAUCCGUAAGCUUGAGUUCAUUCGCACAUAAUGAUGGAAAGACCUGUGUGUUGUCCUUGUUAAUGUAGACAGAGAAGAGCUCCAACUUCUUAACCAUGGCCUCAAUUUUGCCCCACACAUUGAAUAUAGUUGUGGAGAGUCCCUGUAAUCCUAGAUUCAGAUCAUGCAGACAAGAAAACACAUCACCCAGGCAGGCCAGUCGUGUGAGAAACUCAUCAUCAUGCAAACUGUCAGACAAGUUAAAAUUAUGAUCAGUAAAGAAAACUUUAAGCUCGUCUCUCAAUUAAAAAAAAAAAAACGUGUCAAUACUUUGCCCCUUGAUAACCAGCACACUUCUAAGUAUGUAAUACUUUGCUUUGGAUUGCAAACAGAGGAAGAUCUUCAAAGGAAGGAGAUACAGACAAGGCAGAACAUCUAAAAAGGAAGCUGAUAAAUCGGAGCAGGGUGACGGUUGGACUUCCUCCCCUCAGAGUGGAUUUCCCCUCCCUAACCUUGGGAAAGAGAUGCCACGUGCUCCACAGUUAGAGGUUCCACAUCUCUCUGACGAAGACCCUCUGCCAUGUUACCACCACCAACCUUCCACUGUGCCAGACUGCUGACUAGGUCAAGCCAACCAGGAGAGUAAUUGGGAGAGAAUAUCACUGCCCCAGCCAAUGCCAGACAGACAGACAGAUCAAGAUGACCUGGGAAAUCCAUUUGGGCAUUGGCUUACAUCACCUCUCCACACGGGAUCCAGUGAGGGGCCACAGGGAUGUGGAACAAUUGUUGCAGAUCAUGGAAUUCCCAUCGGUUGGAGCUUCCCGCCUGUUUCGUGGUGGAGCUAAAAGUAGCAUCUGCCAUCGUUCAGUCAGAGCAUCAAACUCUCCGAUUAGUUUCCUUCUCCUGACCCAUAAAGUUAGGGGAGCUGUGAAUGUUCUUCUCUCUGUACACUCACUGAGAUGUUUCACAUUGUGUAUAAACCCCAUGACAAACGGUAAGAUGGCGCUUGUCUGUUCUCUUUGAAGAGACUGUGUGGAGAUGGAUUGCACAGGCUCUGCUAUCUGACAGCUAGCUGGGCCUCUAAGUUCACAGUGUUACAGAAAAGCUGGAACAAGCGUGUGGACAUGGAGAAAACACACACUGAAAGACCAUCCCACAGAGAACUAGAAAGAUGUAGAAUGUACUGGAUGAAAUUUCCUAGUCUUUACAACUGACAUGGAGUCAGUCCAAGACACUCACCUUGAACUCUAAAUGGUACACUUCUGUUGUUCCUCUCAUUACCAUUCCUGUCAAGUCCUGUGUUCAUACUGGGAUUAGUACAUAGUUCUCACACCCAUAGGCGGAUGUCAUGAGCAAGACAUAGGUCAAAAGGUUGAAUGUUGUCUGUGUUGUAGGGGUACGGUGUUUAAAAAUGAUUUCUGUCAGAUGUCUGUCUACCUGCUGAAAUCCAAGUUCAGAAGACGUUGCUCUGCUCAGAAUGUAGCAGUUGAGGCAACACUCCCAAAGCAGUACAAAUGUAACAUUUGUUGUGGAGAAAAUAAAUCUGAGCUGUCCGAUACAUUUUAUGCAUAUUGUUGUUCAAAUUUCAGUGAUACAUUUCUGUAGACAAUGAGCAAAAAGCAUCCCUCAAUCGUACAGAGUGCACCUUUCACCAUACCAAGGGUACACACCAAUAACGACCCCAGGUGGCUAAGCAACACACAAACCAGUCCUUCAUUAACCAGUCACUAAGGUUGCUGAGGUGGCAAGUCGCUAAGGUCUGAACUCCAGCUCAAAGGUCAUGCCACAUGACAGCUGCAUUUCCUACAUGUUUUCACAGGUUCUCUAAUCACUGUAGAUUGACAACAGCACAGACGGUCCCAUUCAACCUCCCUGCCUGCCUCUCCCUCAGAUGCCUAGAUUAAACAAACACCCGUGGCCCGUCCUCACAGUCCUGAGUUGCAGCUCCC
ensembl:lncRNA